rnacentral:rRNA from 1 species
UACGUAGGGACCGAGCGUUGUCCGGAUUCAUUGGGCGUAAAGAGCUCGUAGGCGGUUUGUCGCGUCGAAUGUGAAAACCCGGGGCUCAACCCCGGGCCUGCAUUCGAUACGGGCAGACUAGAGUUCGGUAGGGGAGUCUGGAAUUCCUGGUGUAGCGGUGAAAUGCGCAGAUAUCAGGAGGAACACCGGUGGCGAAGGCGGGUCUCUGGGCCGAUACUGACGCUGAGGAGCGAAAGCGUGGGGAGCAAACAGG